CAGAGGAGAUAAGAUGAUUGAGAUAUGUCCCAGUUUCCUUCACUUUUACUUUUUCAUGCACGCAAUUGCCUGAAUAGGGGUUAGCUUUGAUCUAUCUACCACAGUGACUGCAAAUCGUGCACAUUGUGCGUGAAAGUACCGUAAACGAAUUUGAAACAAGCCUAGUUUACUAUAUAGUCCUACAGACCUUUACUUCCUGUAAGUAAAGUUAAUGAUAGGGUUGAUUGGUCACGAUGUUGAACAUGUCUCAAUUAAGAAUUCGAUUUAAUGAACACAAUUAAUUCACAAUCAGUAAAACAUUUUCUAAUAUGUUUUUUUUCAAGUUUUGUAUGACUGAACUUUAACGUGAGUACUUAUUGGGACAAAUAUUUGAAUGUUGCGAAUUUGAUAGAGUAGAUGGAGUUUUAAAAUAUUUUGAAAAGAGAUGUGGUAUGUGUAAUGUUCACGUUUAGAAUCCACUUUUGCUGGUGGGUGAUAUGUUAUAAUGAACGAUAUUCAAAUUCCCGCCUUUGUUUGCCAACAGUAUGUGCGCGCUACCUCGUGUACGAAAUUGACACUACUUAGUCUAAACAGCUGAUCCCAACACAGCAGUACUACAUUUGUCGUGCAACCUGCAACGUGUUGAGAUGUUGAUUGAGGUGUUUUCUUUACGAAUUAUUAUUUUCCGACACCCUGGUUUAAUUAAUGUUCUUUUAACUUUAGUCAAUCACAGUUAAAAAUAGCAUUGCAUGGGAUAAAUGGUUAUUAUUCUCUGGCCAUCCACUGACCACUGGUGCUGAAUUGUUCGAGCCAUUAGUGCUUGAAACAUUUUUGGUUUGCCAAGCUUUGACCACGUUAUUCGACUAUUUCAAGUGAUUCCCAUGUGUGGAGUAAUAACCAAGAAGCUGAAGGUCCCACAUUGGGAUUUCAACUGUUGCAAAAAUGCAAUAAAAGAAACAGCUCUACAAAAGUUAUUCCUGGUGCUGUGGAUACUUCCCUCUAGCUGAUUCCCUUACACUGAUUGAUCUGAAAGUAGAAACAUCAUCCAAACCAACUAAAUUUCAACUUGACAGCUCUAGAAUAAGAAAUCUCGAUUGUAAGUCAAAUCAAUGCUGUCAAGCUUCAAGUGCAGCUCGUGGGGUGUAUUAACUCAUGGACUAGGAGUAGCACAUUUAUCGAAACCCAUCAGCUACAAGUAUCUGUUGACUGAUGCGGGAAAGGACUGACAUGGGAAGCAGUGGGAGACGUUAAAUAUAGUGGAUGGAUUCGAAGAAGGAAGUAGAAAUUGAACCUCUUUUGUAUC